GACGAACGCUGGCGGCGUGCCUUACACAUGCAAGUCGAACGGCAGCACGGGUGCUUGCACCUGGUGGCGAGUGGCGAACGGGUGAGUAAUACAUCGGAACGUACCUUAUCGUGGGGGAUAACGCAGCGAAAGCUGUGCUAAUACCGCAUACGCCCUGAGGGGGAAAGCGGGGGAUCGCAAGACCUCGCGCGAUUAGAGCGGCCGAUGCCUGAUUAGCUUGUUGGUGGGGUAAAAGCCCACCAAGGCGACGAUCAGUAGCUGGUCUGAGAGGACGAUCAGCCACACUGGGACUGAGACACGGCCCAGACUCCUACGGGAGGCAGCAGUGGGGAAUUUUGGACAAUGGGGGCAACCCUGAUCCAGCAAUGCCGCGUGAGUGAAGAAGGCCUUCGGGUUGUAAAGCUCUUUUGUCAGGGAAGAAACACCGGCUCUAACACAGUCCGGGAAUGACGGUACCUGAAGAAUAAGCACCGGCUAACUACGUGCCAGCCGCCGCAGUAA
rnacentral:rRNA from 1 species